AGAGUUUGAUCCUGGCUCAGGACGGACGCUGGCGGCGUGCUUAAUACAUGCAAGUCGAGCGGUGCUUCUUCGGAAGCGCAGCGGCGGACGGGUGAGGAACACGUGAGUAACCGGGCAACCAGUGGGGGAUAUCGGGCCGAAAGGCGCGGCAAUCCCGCAUACGCCGCAGGCCGUCGAGGCCUGCGGGAAAGGCCUUCGGGUCGCUGGAUGGGGGGCUCGCGGCCCAUUAGCUAGUUGGGGGGGUAAUGGCCUCCCAAGGCGACGAUGGGUAGCCGGCCUGAGAGGGUGAUCGGCCACACUGGGACUGAGACACGGCCCAGACUCCUACGGGAGGCAGCAGUAGGGAAUCUUCCACAAUGGGCGCAAGCCUGAUGGAGCAACGCCGCGUGAGUGAAGACGGCCUUCGGGUUGUAAAGCUCUGUCUGUCGGGACGAGGGCCGCGCGGGAACGCGCGGAGGGACGGUACCGGCGGAGGAAGCCCCUGCAAACUACGUGCCAGCAGCCGCGGUAAGACGUAGGGGGCAAGCGUUGUCCGGAAUUACUGGGCGUAAAGGGCGUGUAGGCGGUUUUACACGUAGCGGUUUUCAGCCGUCGGCUCACCCGACGGAGGGCGGCUAAACGGUAAGGCUGGAGGGCAGGAGAGGUGCACGGAAUUCCUGGUGGAGCGGUGAAAUGCGUAGAGAUCAGGAAGAACACCGGUGGCGAAGGCGGUGCACUGGCCUGGCCCUGACGCUGAGGCGCGACAGCGUGGGGAGCAAACGGGAUUAGAUACCCUGGUAGUCC
rnacentral:rRNA from 1 species